rnacentral:lncRNA from 1 species
AUACUCCCUCCGAUUUUUAUUAAGUGUCCCCAGCCGUCAAAAUACACAUACCAAUAAAAUAAGAUAUUUUACAGUUGUAACCUUAGUAAUUGUCAUAAUAAAUGCAUUUAUACAACUAAUUAUUACAUUCAUACAAGUAUUAAAUAAGGAUAAAAUAGGAAAAGUGUCAUAAAUAUACUCUCAAAUUUUGAAAUGGGACACUUAUUGAGAAACAAAAAAAUGAGCUAAAUGGGACACUUAUAAAAAAUCGGAGGGAGUAA